UUAAAUUGAAGAGUUUGAUCAUGGCUCAGAUUGAACGCUGGCGGCAGGCCUAACACAUGCAAGUCGAGCGGUAGCACAGAGAGCUUGCUCUCGGGUGACGAGCGGCGGACGGGUGAGUAAUGUCUGGGAAACUGCCUGAUGGAGGGGGAUAACUACUGGAAACGGUAGCUAAUACCGCAUAACGUCGCAAGACCAAAGUGGGGGACCUUCGGGCCUCAUGCCAUCAGAUGUGCCCAGAUGGGAUUAGCUAGUAGGUGGGGUAACGGCUCACCUAGGCGACGAUCCCUAGCUGGUCUGAGAGGAUGACCAGCCACACUGGAACUGAGACACGGUCCAGACUCCUACGGGAGGCAGCAGUGGGGAAUAUUGCACAAUGGGCGCAAGCCUGAUGCAGCCAUGCCGCGUGUGUGAAGAAGGCCUUCGGGUUGUAAAGCACUUUCAGCGGGGAGGAAGGCGGUGAGGUUAAUAACCUCAUCGAUUGACGUUACCCGCAGAAGAAGCACCGGCUAACUCCGUGCCAGCAGCCGCGGUAAUACGGAGGGUGCAAGCGUUAAUCGGAAUUACUGGGCGUAAAGCGCACGCAGGCGGUCUGUCAAGUCGGAUGUGAAAUCCCCGGGCUCAACCUGGGAACUGCAUUCGAAACUGGCAGGCUAGAGUCUUGUAGAGGGGGGUAGAAUUCCAGGUGUAGCGGUGAAAUGCGUAGAGAUCUGGAGGAAUACCGGUGGCGAAGGCGGCCCCCUGGACAAAGACUGACGCUCAGGUGCGAAAGCGUGGGGAGCAAACAGGAUUAGAUACCCUGGUAGUCCACGCCGUAAACGAUGUCGAUUUGGAGGUUGUGCCCUUGAGGCGUGGCUUCCGGAGCUAACGCGUUAAAUCGACCGCCUGGGGAGUACGGCCGCAAGGUUAAAACUCAAAUGAAUUGACGGGGGCCCGCACAAGCGGUGGAGCAUGUGG
rnacentral:rRNA from 1 species